UACGCCUAUUGGAUUGAGCAAUCUGUAGUUGCUCCAUCAAAUGUGAGUAUGUGUUCAUCACAUUACUUGUAUUUUAACUCCACAGUUACACACUAUUGCGGUUUUUCUUUUUCUUCUAUUUUCACACACGGAGAGACCCAAGCACCACUUCUAUCCUAGAGUGGGGAUCAUAUCACACCAAGCCAUAUCCAGGGAGCCGCUUUACUGACUUCAAAAUAUGAUACUGCUGCAGAGGAAGACCAUUUGCAGACCUGUGAAAGACAGUGUAUCCUUAGGCAGGGAUUAUUUUGCCCAAGCGCGAAGGACAUAAUUGGUGCUACACCACCCUCCUGCUUCUUCAUUCCCCUACACCGGAUAAGAGAGACUCUGGACUUGGUGUUUAAGCUG